rnacentral:RNase_P_RNA from 1 species
GCGAGCUAGCGUGUGGGCCACUGCGGAAGCAGAGGAAACUCCUCCCUCCAAGCAAAAAUGCAGCCCAGCGAUGGGUAGCCAGAGAUGGCUGGCAACGGCACAGAAAAGAUAUCCGAGUUAGAGCACGAUGAUGGCAGAACCUGAGAUUCCUAGCAAGGAAUGAAACUGCCGACCUGUAUGGAGCAAGGCCAAACAGAACCGAUGAGUUUGCUCAAGGUUCAGGUAGGCCGCUUAGCGAAAUCCCGCUUAAAACAGAAGGAGGGUUACGGCUAGCACGC